rnacentral:sRNA from 1 species
AGUGCGUCAUCAAGAAAGAGAACAACUUCAAACAGGCUGGAGACAGGUACAGAUCAUGGGCACCAGACAGGCAAGACAGGUUUGUUAAGAGAUGGGUGGAGAUUCUAUCGGAGCCACGUCUCACCCACGAGAUCCGCGGCAUCUGGAUCUCUUACUGGUCU